rnacentral:lncRNA from 1 species
CUCUCAUCCUGCCCCCAGAAUAGGGAGCUGUGGAGAGAAGAGUCACUCAAAAGCUAUCUUCCUAUUCACAAAUGAACACAUAACAGUAAAGGAAGGCACUUGGUAUAAUGGAGUUGGCAUAAAUCUCAGUCCUGUUUCCCAUGUCUCAGACAUUUCACAGAAGCUUCAAAAUACUCUGGACAGAUUAGGGUGUGGAUGGUCUAGAUUUAGAGACCUGUCAUCCACCAACAACCCUCUGGCACUUAGUCAUUUCUUUUGUACCCAUAGCAGAGUGGAUAAAGGUAUGAUUUGUAGUCAGACAUAUGUGACUCCAAAUUCAGGCUCUAUCUCUUGCUAAUCUUGUGAGCUUGGGAAAAAUACUUGGCUUCUCUCCACCUCGGGUGCCCCAUUUAUAAAACAGGACAACUUAGCACUCAGUGAAUACACAGAGCUUAGCACAUGGUUACCACUUAAGGCAAAUACUAUGCUUGUUUCCUGCUAUAUUGCCUUGUCCAGGGCACAGAGAAGAUGGCACGUCACAGACUAAUACAAUUGGGACCAUGUCACUGAGCUCUGGAUGCAAGCAGAAGUAAUUUAAGCCACUUCCAGACCCUGCUAUAAAGGUUCUCUCUUCCUCCAUAUCUCUCCGGCAAGCCUUGAAGUCAUGUAUAGGCCUGGGCCCCUGUCAGCUUGGGCAUCUAUGAGAAGCAAGGCCUACCCACCCACCAACAUCAAACACAGAGCAUGAGAGUUCAAGUCCUCCAAGAAGCAGACACCAAGACAGAGUUAGAAGCACAAGAGAUUUAUGGGAGGAAGCCCCUGCAAUAGAUAAAGAGGACAGGAAGCAGGAGUAAGGAGUGAGAGCCUGGAGGCCGUGAUGCAGGUCCGACACACUCAGAAGGUAAGGGCAGAGGUGGAGGAUUGGGUAGCAGGAGUCUCAGACUGUAUGGUGCAGCUUUGUGGAGCUCUAGGCCAAGGGAACCCAUAGCAAAGACGGCCCACAGGGUAGUCCUGUAUUGCGCAGAAACAGCCCACCUCUAAGCUCCCCAAGGUCCUCAGUUGUUGGCUGGGAGCAAACUAGGGAGAAUGUGGCCUUAAGGUGAGCAAUGCCCUGGACCCCAAAGGUGGAGCUGGAGACUGUCAGCUAACUGUGCCUCUUACCUUGGGGUCUUUUUUGAAGGAAGGUCUAAGAAAUGCAUUUCCAAGGUUGCCUGAACCUCUCAAUAAAUAAUAGCUAUAUUUUACCAUCCCACAGUGUGUUUUCUCUCUCUCUCUCUCUCUCUCUAAUGUGUCAUUAAUCAAGGGUGUCAGCCUCUCUAGAAAGUGAGCUCCUUGGGGGCACCAUCAAUGGCUUCAUUGUGAUUACAGUUUAGUGUUUGGUUGGUAUGUAGUAAGAGCUUAAUAAACGGCAACUGGAAGAGUAAGUAACUGAGUGACAGCGUGAAAGUCCUUAGAAGAGUGUAGCUAACUCCUAGGAGGUUACUGUUGAGAGGACCUAUCUUGAGCAUAGUGAGCUGUUUCAUUCAGACUGAGGUAUACCCGCUUCACACACCUAAAGUCAUAUGUCAGAGCGGGACCCAGUGCGGGAAGUUUGUAUGCUCCAAAGUGCCUCAGGCUACAGAGGGAAAAAAAAAAAACUGUAAUGUAUCUCUUCCCCCUAAGAAGUCCUACACAGCUCUCCAGGAGCUUUAGGUUUGCUGCAUUCAGUUAGGGAAAAUGAGAAAAAGUCAGAGACACAAGCAGAAGGAAGAUGAAAACACAGUGCAAAAUGGCAAAGCAAAGACUACGAAAGUAAGGAAGCCUUCCGGGAGCUCUGAGGGCUUAGCAGCCCCAUCAGAAGUGCACGGAAUAUUAGAAGCAGAGAGGUAGGUGUCUUUUAAGAUGUGGCUUUUUUGAGACAUCUCAGUUCAAACCCUGAAUAUCUGCCUGACCCCAGACAACUCACUUAACCUCUCUGGCACUGAGAAUCACAUUUCAUGAAGGGAGGGAUCCUGUCUGCCUUGUUUAUGCUUUGUCCCCAGUGCCCAGCGUAGUUCUGGGAGCAUGACUGACACUCAAGCUAUGUCAUAGUAAGGUCUUGGAAUUGGAGUCAGACGGUCUGGAUUUGAACUCUGGCUGACAUUUACCAUGGGAACUGAGACGGUGAAAUAUAAUUGGCAAAUUUAAAUCCAUGCAAAAGGAUUAAUGCCUUGUGGAAAGAAGUGCAGGUGAAUAGAAAUGCUGGAGGUGGAUCCCAAGAUCUAAAGUCAAGGACUGGAUCAGGGAAGUCACUGGACAACUUUGAGCUUAAUUAAUCUCAUCAAGAAAUAUAUAUAAAGAUUAACUUCUCCAUCUUCCAUGUGUUGUGAGAAUCAUUGAGAAACAGCAAUACAUUGUAUUAGAAUAAAGACAGUGUAUAAAAACCAAGAAGAUAUGCCUCACUCACUAUCAUCACCAUCCUCACCAUCACGAUAUGAUCAUCACCAUUUUUACUCCAUUAGUGCCUUAAAUGUUUUCCAUGUUGUACUGCUGCCACCUAAUGGCAGAGCUGAAUGAAUGUGAAGCUUCCUUCAAGUCACAUACUCUGGUUUUGCCUUUUCUUAAAUCUGUAUUCACCUGGACUGAAGUCAGAAAAUGUACAGGCUGGAAAAAAAUAAACAGAAAUGACUGCACUUGUUAUACUUGGCAAGUAGAAUUCUGCCCCAACCUUGAAUAAAUGGGGCAGAAAUGAGCCCCAGGUCUAGAUUAAGGGAACGCCCACCAGGUGGUCUUAUCCAUUUUUCAUUAGUCCAAAUGUGUUUUGUAUGUAACAAACCAUGCUCCUAUUAACUUCCAGACAUAAAAUGAAAACAUUUAGAGCAAGCUGUGGACUGAUUAUCAGAAUUGGAGGGAGUGUGGCAUUUUGAAACUCUUGAGACAGAAGACUGGGUCUACUGGUGUAAGGAGCUGUAGCGGCAACUGGUUGCAGGAAUUGUACAUAUGGCCUUGCAGAACAUCUUUCCAAGGCGUCUCAGACUGUGUGGUCACUCUCAAAAGGACAACAGUUUUACUCCCAGAAUUUAUGAAGAGACAAAGGCUCUGACUCCUCUUUGGUUUCCUUCUUAAAACAUUCUACUUAGACAUUCCACAGGGCAAUAAAAACUAAUAACUAGCCGUUUGCACUUUUCAUUUCCAUGGUAACUUUCCUACGUAGGUAUUCCAAAGUUCUUAUAAAAAUAGGGAAUGCCGAUUGACCUACAUCCAGGAAAUGAGGCGAUAGUUUUAUUUCAGGUCCUUAAGCAGAAACCUACCCAUUUUCAUAUGAGUAUCUGUCUGCAGAAAGUCAAUGGGGCUCUAAGUGCAAGGACAUUGUCCCACACACUUGGACAGAAAUAAAGCAGCUGGAGAAGACUGCUGAAUUCAGGCUUCUCUCCAACAGUGAAGAAAGCCCAACCUGGCAUGGUGAAAGAACCCCUCUAUCACAAUAUAACUUGGGAUUCACGAAGAUGGCAGAAGAUUUUGGAGAAUGACUGGAUUUACUAUCUUACAGAACAAGAACUAAAUAUAUUUUAAUGUACAUGAAACUGCAAACAAAUUUUCAAUAUGAUAGAGAGUCUGAGUGAAAAAUGAAAAUCCAUACUUAAAGUAGAGGAGGACAGAAAUAGAAAUUGUUACAUUGAAAGAAUCAAUCUGAACUCAUCAUUUUAAACAGGAAAUAUAUUUUCCAUCCCUGUCAAUGAUCCAAAACCAGCAGCUUCACCUUUUCCCAACACUCACGUCUAAUUCUGGUCUGUGCAACCAAUUGGUCAGCAGCCCAGACUCUUCAUCUUAGCUAGUCUGGGAGACUAUUAUUUUUCAGUUGAGAGUGCUAAGAUUAUCACAAGCCUAGGAUGAAAAUAGAAUACUGUAUGUGGUAAAUUUACUGUAAUUCUAGAAAGAUAACUCUGAGAAGAAACCAAAAUUAAGGUGUAAGAAUAAGAAUGGAAAUAAGAAUUACAAUGAAAAUAGAAAUAAGAAUAAAAAUAACAUGAGAAUAAAGACGUGGAACAUGACAUUUCAAUUCAUGUUAUUUGCAUUAUGGUAGUAAGUUUUAUUGUAAGUGUGUUAAUGUAUUAAUCACUGAAGUAUUUUGUAUGUCUUCUGUCUGCAUCCUAGCAUGUUUAAAGCAUUUUGAAAAAUUUCUGGAGAUGUGUGCUUUUAAUUAAAUCAUCAGAAGGGUUUUAUGGGACAAAUUUAACUUUGCAGCCAAUGUCUAAGAAUUUGGGAAAAUUCAUUGAAUCAAUAUGUUUUUAUUUAUCAUAAUCUACCAAUAUGUGAAUAUUUAAAAGAAUGUUUAUUAUUUAUUGCUUAAAAAUAAUUGGUUGAUAAAUUCAAAAUAUCAAGAAUUUAGACAUUAG